GGAUGUUUCCGAAAAUUCUUUCACAAACGUGACAAUACCUAAAGAUGCCUUUUCUCCAAGAAAGAACUUUUUUGCUUGCUGUUCUAAAGUAAACACUGAGGGUAUGAAUUGGCUUGAAACUAAUUAUUCUUGUGGCAAUAACUCAAAGAGAUAUGAACAUUUGUACAUCAACUGUGGAGGAAAUGCAGCAACAAUAAAUGGAAGCAACUAUGAAGCUGAUCUUGAUCCAAAUGGAGAAUCAAGGUUCUAUCUGAGCAGUAAUGGAGCCUGGGGAUUCAGUAGUAUGGGAAUCGUUGAACUUGUAAAAAACCAGA